rnacentral:rRNA from 1 species
AACGCGAAGAACCUUACCUGGGUUAAAUCCACCGGAAGCCUGCAGAGAUGUAGGCGUGCCCUUCGGGGAACCGGUGAGAAGGUGCUGCAUGGCUGUCGUCAGCUCGUGUCGUGAGAUGUUGGGUUAAGUCCCGCAACGAGCGCAACCCUUGUCGCUAGUUGCCAACGGUUCGGCCGGGCACUCAAGCGAGACUGCCGACGUUAAGUCGGAGGAAGGUGGGGAUGACGUCAAGUCCUCAUGGCCCUUAUGCCCAGGGCAACACACGUGCUACAAUGGCCGGUACAAAGGGCAGCGACACCGCGAGGUGAAGCCAAUCCCAAAAAACCGGUCUCAGUUCGGAUUGGAGUCUGCAACUCGACUCCAUGAAGUUGGAAUCGCUAGUAAUCGCGGAUCAGCACGCCGCGGUGAAUACGUUCCCGGGCCUUGUACACACCGCGAGC